rnacentral:rRNA from 1 species
CCUACGGGAGGCAGCAGUAGGGAAUAUUGCUCAAUGGGGGAAACCCUGAAGCAGCAACGCCGCGUGGAGGAUGAAGGUUUUCGGAUUGUAAACUCCUUUUGUUAGAGAAGAUAAUGACGGUAUCUAACGAAUAAGCACCGGCUAACUCCGCGCCAGCAGCCGCGGUAAUACGGAGGGUGCAAGCGUUACUCGGAAUCACUGGGCGUAAAGAGUGCGUAGGCGGGGUAAUAAGUCAGAUGUGAAAUCCUGUAGCUUAACUACAGAACUGCAUUUGAAACUGUUACUCUGGAGUGUGGGAGAGGUAGGUGGAAUUCUUGGUGUAGGGGUAAAAUGCGUAGAGAUCAGGAGGAAUACUCGUUGCGAAGGCGACCUGCUGGAACAUUACUGACGCUGAUGCACGAAAGCGUGGGGAGCAAACAGGAUUAGAUACCCGAGUAGUC